rnacentral:rRNA from 1 species
UACGAAGGGGACUAGCGUUGUUCGGAAUCACUGGGCGUAAAGCGCACGUAGGCGGAUAUGUCAAUCAGGGGUGAAAUCCCGGGGCUCAACCUCGGAACUGCCUUUGAUACAGCAUGUCUUGAGUCCGAUAGAGGUGGGUGGAAUUCCUAGUGUAGAGGUGAAAUUCGUAGAUAUUAGGAAGAACACCGGUGGCGAAGGCGGCCCACUGGAUCGGUACUGACGCUGAGGUGCGAAAGCGUGGGGAGCAAACAGG